rnacentral:rRNA from 1 species
GUGGGGAAUAUUGGACAAUGGGCGAAAGCCUGAUCCAGCAAUGCCGCGUGAGUGAAGAAGGCCUUAGGGUUGUAAAGCUCUUUUACCCGGGAAGAUAAUGACUGUACCGGGAGAAUAAGCCCCGGCUAACUCCGUGCCAGCAGCCGCGGUAAUACGGAGGGGGCUAGCGUUGUUCGGAAUUACUGGGCGUAAAGCGCACGUAGGCGGCUUUGUAAGUUAGAGGUGAAAGCACAGGGCUCAACCCUGGAACUGCCUUUAAGACUGCAUCGCUUGAACACGGGAGAUGUGAGAGGAAUUCCGAGUGUAGAGUUGAAAUUCGUAGAUAUUCGGAAGAACACCAGUGGAGAAGGCGACUCACUGGACCGUUGUUGACGCUGAGGUGCGAAAGCGUGGGGAGCAAACAGGAUUAGAUACCCCGGUAGUCC